GGCGGACGGGUGAGUAAUGCGUAGGAAUUUNCCUCNAAGUGAAGGGAUAGCCCGGAGAAAUCCGGAUUAAUACCGCAUGUGCACUACGGUGGAAAGCGGGCCUCUUCCUGAAAGCUCGCGCUUUGAGAUAAGCCUACGUCGGAUUAGCUUGUUGGUAGGGUAAAGGCCUACCAAGGCGACGAUCCGUAGCUGGUUUGAGAGGAUGAUCAGCCNCACUGGGACUGAGACACGGCCCANACUCCUAUGGGAGGCAGCANUGGGGAAUNUUGNACAAUGGGCGAANCCUGAUCCAGCAUUGCCGCGUGUGUGAAGAAUGCCUGCNGGUUGUAAAGCACUUUUAU
rnacentral:rRNA from 1 species